GGCAAUUUGCCCGAGUGGUUAAGGGGGCAGACUUAAGAUCUGCUGGUGAAUAGCCGCGUGGGUUCGAUCCCCACAGUUGCCA
rfam:Stentor coeruleus isolate WM001 SteCoe_contig_501, whole genome shotgun sequence.